rnacentral:rRNA from 1 species
GACGAACGCUGGCGGCGUGCUUAACACAUGCAAGUCGAACGGAAAGGCCCUGCUUUUGUGGGGUGCUCGAGUGGCGAACGGGUGAGUAACACGUGAGUAACCUGCCCUUGACUUUGGGAUAACUUCAGGAAACUGGGGCUAAUACCGGAGAGGAGCUCCUGAUGCAUGGUGGGGGUUGGAAAGUUUCGGCGGUUGGGGAUGGACUCGCGGCUUAUCAGCUUGUUGGUGGGGUAGUGGCUUACCAAGGCUUUGGAGGGUAGCCGGCCUGAGAGGGUGGCCGGCCACAUUGGGACUGAGGUACGGACCAGACUCCAACGGGAGGCAGCAGUGGGAAAUAUUACACAAUGGGCGGAAGCCUGAUGCGACGACGCCGCGUGCGGGAUGACGGCCUUCGGGUUGUAAACCGCUUUCGCCUGUGACGAAGCGUGAGUGACGGUAAUGGGUGAAGAAGCACCGGCUAACUACGUG